rnacentral:rRNA from 1 species
GACGAACCGAGCGAACGUUGUUCGGAAUCACUGGGCUUAAAGGGCGCGUAGGCGGGCUGCCAAGUUUGGGGUGAAAUCCUCCGGCUCAACCGGAGCAGUGCCUCGAAUACUGGCGGUCUCGAGGGAGGUAGGGGCGUGCGGAACUGUGGGUGGAGCGGUGAAAUGCGUUGAUAUCCACAGGAACUCCGGUGGCGAAGGCGGCACGCUGGACCUUUUCUGACGCUGAGGCGCGAAAGCCAGGGGAGCGGAACGGG